GAUGAACAAAACUAUUUCUAAGAAUGGAAUAUAUAAAAAUGGUUAAAGCAUAGUCCCUUGUGAAAAAGUAUCUGAGAAACAAAACUACUUACUGUGAAAAAUUACCCAGGGCUUUCUCAACAAGGUCCUUAGCUUGGGUCUGUCUCAGAAUACAUUUCUUUCUCACUACGUUUACUGGGUUCAAUAGUGUCCCACCAAAAUUCACAUCCAGCCGGAACCUGCAAAUGUGACUAAAAAUUCUGGUCACAAAUUCCAAUGUGUGUGUGGUGGGGGUGGGGGGAUUUCCUCACACCUCAUCACCAAGUAAUUCCCUGGACACCAGGAAUUCUACUCACUGCUGCUGAUCCUGCCUCAUUUCCCGUCUUCAUCUUUCCCUGCUUCCACAUGGUGGGAUCUGUCAGUUCCCCAGCUAUCCAUCUCAAAACCAUACCUGACCAGUUUGAAGGCAGCAUGAGCUCUAUAAUUUGCUACAAUUCAUAAACAGAAGAGAGAAGGGGAGGGAAAGCCAGUGUAUAAUAUGCAAGGCAUUAAGAUCAAUUUCUCUGUAUCCAGUGUGACCUUUGCCUCAGAGCUGAGCUCGUUUUGGAGCUGUCCUUGGUGCUUACCUCAGACCUGGAACUCAAUUUUCAGGACUGAUCCAGCCUGCAGUUUCCUCAUAAUGAGGAGUCUAUUUUUCAUGAACCAGGUGCCUCUCUGCCCACCUUGGAACCCUGCCACUAUCCCUACAUGGACUUGCAGGAAAAUAUGCCAAUUCCACCCUCCCUUGCUCUCCUCUGCUAUGUUUUUCUCUCUCACUCUCUCCAUAAUUCUUCCUCAGUACAGUUUUCUUGGCAUAUCUCCCUACUUAGACAUACAUCCAAACAGUAAUUUCUAUGAUGAGUGUAAGUGGUUGGUAUGGCAAGAAAAAACACAGAGCUGGAUGUUAGAAAUCCUGGAUUUUAGAUUUUAGUUAUGGCUCUAAUAUUAACGAGCCCUGUGACUUGACUAAGUCAUGUAAAAUCUCAGAAAUCUGCUUUCCCAUUUAUAAAGUUGAGAUAAUCACAUAAUCUCUAUAUUACCACAGAGGGUAGUUGUAAGGCUCACAUAAGAUGAUAAUAUGUGAAAACUCUGG
rnacentral:lncRNA from 1 species